rnacentral:rRNA from 1 species
GAUGAACGCUGGCGGCGUGCCUAAUACAUGCAAGUCGAGCGAACAGACGAGGAGCUUGCUCCUCUGACGUUAGCGGCGGACGGGUGAGUAACACGUGGAUACCCUACCUAUAAGACUGGGAUAACUUCGGGAAACCGGAGCUAAUACCGGAUAAUAUAUUGAACCGCAUGGUUCAAUAGUGAAAGACGGUUUUGCUGUCACUUAUAGAUGGAUCCGCGCCGCAUUAGCUAGUUGGUAAGGUAACGGCUUACCAAGGCAACGAUGCGUAGCCGACCUGAGAGGGUGAUCGGCCACACUGGAACUGAGACACGGUCCAGACGCCUACGGGAGGCAGCAGUAGGGAAUCUUCCGCAAUGGGCGAAAGCCUGACGGAGCAACGCCGCGUGAGUGAUGAAGGUCUUCGGAUCGUAAAACUCUGUUAUUAGGGAAGAACAAAUGUGUAAGUAACUAUGCACGUCUUGACGGUACCUAAUCAGAAAGCCACGGCUAACUACGUG